rnacentral:rRNA from 1 species
UGAGUAACCUGCCCUUGACUCUGGGAUAAGCCUGGGAAACCGGGUCUAAUACUGGAUAUGACUGCCGGCCGCAUGGUCUGGUGGUGGAAAGCUUUAUUGCGGUUUUGGAUGGACUCGCGGCCUAUCAGCUUGUUGGCGGGGUAAUGGCCCACCAAGGCGACGACGGGUAGCCGGCCUGAGAGGGUGACCGGCCACACUGGGACCGAGACACGGCCCAGACUCCGUACGGGAGGCAG